GUGCGCCUGCGGGCUGUCCCUGCAUCCCGCGCGCAGUGGGCGUUACUAACGGACAACUCCUGACUCCAGGAUCUCAAAUACAGUGAUGCUUCGGGAAUUGUGGACCCUCUUGCCCGUUAUUGACUAAUCCCCUCGGACCCAGCCCCUGGUGAUGGUGAAGGGACCGGGUUGUGAAUCUAGAUAGCUUGAGCUGUGGCUCUAGCUAAGGACCGCGCGAAGCAUGUUGGAGAAUGUCUUCGCAGCUCACCUCAGCACAGAUUCGCUGACUUGACAGUCGAGUAAUAUCGAUCUGAAAAAAAAAAAAAAAAAAAAAGACAGUUGGUGCAAGGUUAAUUUGAACCAAAUCUCCUAGGAGCCAAGACUAAAGGAUAAGAGCUCACCAAAGGAGAUUACAAUCGGGGGUACGAGUUCCUGGGAACCUGCUGUUAAUACGCCAGCGUAUUUAAUGUCACGUGGAAUCUGCAAAUUAGGUACCUCUGAUCUUCUCCCCAAAAGAAGGACCGUGGCACAGGUAUCUUUGGAUGGCCUGGAACUCAUCGAACAGUCUGGCUUUGGACUCAUUGGCAGUUAUAUUGCCUCAGCUUCCAGAGUGCUGGGGUUAUAGGCAUGUGCCACCAUGCACAGCUCUGUUCUGUAUUUUGAGACAGGGUCUCACUUUCUAACCUCACUGAGUUACAGCAGCAAGCCUCCUGCCCUGACUGGGUUUUCAGGUGUAUAUAACCCAACUUUCUGUAUCUUAGGAUGUUUUGGCAUUUCCCAAAGCUUGAAGGCUUGGGGAAGACUUAAUGCUUUUAGGGCAGGUCAUUAUUUGGGGUCACACAACACACACACACACACACACACACACACACACACACACACACACCCAUGCUCUCUACCAGGGGUGUGGCUAUCCUGCAGGAACAAAACAACCAGUCCUGAGUCUGUAUUCCCAACAACUUCCUGAUUUAAAUCUCACACUCAAACCAGUUUUUCUCUUCCCCUAACUCAUUCAGGGGCAGGUAUCAGGCAACUAGCCACAACUUCUAGACCUAAAGCCACUGAACUAUUCCAGUUUGCCAGUGCUGAGCAGCUUGUUAUGCCCAGGUGUGCCUUUUCUUCAGCAAUGCCAGCCAAGACUCUACCUCAGUCUUUCCCCCAUAUUGUACUUUGUUGUUUUGAGAGCCCAAGUUACUCUGCAACUUUCCACGUAGCUUCCUGACCUUGAACUUGUGAUUCUCCUGCAUCAGGCUCCUGAGUGCUGAGACUGUGAACACCUGCACACUAAGCAUUCUCCCAUCAACCUGUGUUCUACUAAUUAGUACAUGAGUAGCCAUGGGCCAUCCCCUCUCUGGGUGGGAUCUGUGACUGUAUAACCAUCUUCCUUCCAAGUUUCCUUCUGAUCCCCUCCUGAGGUUGUAAGAUCUUUACCAACCACCCUUCAACAUCUGCAUCCUUAAAAAGAACAGAUGUCUAGGAAAGGGGCUGUGGGGCAUAGGAUAGAUGAUAAGCCAAACGUCUGAACUCACCUUGAAAAAAUAGAUGAAAGAAACUCGGAGACUAUUGGGUAUUCUCCUCUUUCUGUGGAGAUCCUCUUGGUGGGGGCCUGGCAGCAGGCUUAACCACAAGAGUCAGAGGUCCUGGGACCUGAUGAGUUGGUCACUACCUGUGGCACCAAUAUGCCUCCUAGAGACAAGGGAGGGGUUAUUAAGAAAGGAUACUAGGGGCCAGAAAGAUGACUCAGCAAGUAAACCCUGAUGAUGACCCAAGUUCUAGCCCCAAGACCCACAUGUUAGAACAAGCUGACUUCUCCAAGUUGUUCUCUGAUCUCUUGUGUACUGGCCUGCAUGCCUACAUGCACAAGAUAAAUGGAUGUGACUUAACAUUUAAAGUAAGGUCAUUAGGACUGAGGAACAAACACAGGUGGCAGAGUGCUACCCUGAUGUACAGGAAGCUGCGGGUUCCUUCUGUCAAAACUACGGAAAAGAAGGGUGGCUGGUAGCUCAGUGCUGUACUACACUGCUAUGCUGUAUGGAUAGAGACCAUGAAAUGCCAUUAAAGGCUCUCCCUCAGAA